GUCGAGCGCAGGAAACCGUCUGAACCCUUCGGGGGGACGACGGCGGAAUGAGCGGCGGACGGGUGAGUAACACGUAAAGAACCUGCCCAUAGGUCUGGGAUAACCACGAGAAAUCGGGGCUAAUACCGGAUGUGUCAUCGGACCGCAUGGUCCGUUGAUGAAAGGCGCUCCGGCGUCGCCCAUGGAUGGCUUUGCGGUGCAUUAGCUAGUUGGUGGGGUAACGGCCCACCAAGGCGACGAUGCAUAGCCGACCUGAGAGGGUGAUCGGCCACACUGGGACUGAGACACGGCCCAGACUCCUACGGGAGGCAGCAGUAGGGAAUCUUCCACAAUGGACGAAAGUCUGAUGGAGCAACGCCGCGUGAACGAUGAAGGCUUUCGGGUCGUAAAGUUCUGUUGUAAGGGAAGAACAAGUGCCGCAGGCAAUGGCGGCACCUUGACGGUACCUUGCGAGAAAGCCACGGCUAACUACGUGCCAGCAGCCGCGGUAAUACGUAGGUGGCAAGCGUUGUCCGGAAUUAUUGGGCGUAAAGCGCGCGCAGGCGGCCUCUUAAGUCUGAUGUGAAAGCCCCCGGAACAACCGGGGAGGGCCAUUGGAAACUGGGAGGCUUGAGUAUAGGAGACAAGAGUGGAAUUCCACUUGUAGCGGUGAGAUGCGUAGAGAUGUGGAGGAACACCAGUUGGC
rnacentral:rRNA from 1 species